UACAGAGGCCUCAAGCGUUGUCCGGAAUUAUUGGGCGUAAAGAGCUCGUAGGCGGUCUGUCACGUCGGCUGUGAAAACCUGGGGCUCAACUCCGGGCCUGCAGCCGAUACGGGCAGACUAGAGUUCGGCAGGGGAGACUGGAAUUCCUGGUGUAGCGGUGAAAUGCGCAGAUAUCGGGAGGAACACCAAUGGCGAAGGCAGCUCGCUGGGACGUUACUGACGCUGAGACGCGAAAGCGUGGGGAGCAAACAGG
rnacentral:rRNA from 1 species